GCCGAAGUGGCGGAAUGGUAGACGCGGCGGUCUCAAAAACCGUUGGGGGCAACCCCAUCCGAGUUCGACUCUCGGCUUCGGCACCA
rnacentral:tRNA from 1 species